rnacentral:tRNA from 1 species
GGGGAUUUAGCUCAGUGGUAGAGCGCCUGCCUAGGAAGCGCAAGGCCCUGGGUUCGGUGCCCAGCUCCG